AAAUAGAUAAGCUAUAUUUAAGCUAUUGGGUUCAUACCCCAAGUAAAGGUUUUAUCCUUCUAUUUA
rnacentral:tRNA from 2 species